ensembl:lncRNA
CUGAAGAGGCCACACUUCUUGGUAGCAGCCUAGGAAUUAAGAUGACAGCAUUAAUUAUUUAUGCUGUAAAACAUCUUCGUUGUGCUGAACUUUUCUGGUGGACACUGACAGAGAAAUACCUGAGAGAGAAAAUGAUGCAGAUACAGCUUCAUAAAGGAGUGUGAAACAUCAUACCAAACCCAGGACUGGUAACCGCACUUCUUCCAGUAAUCAAGAACAACACAGCAUGAAAUUAUGCGGCAAGGACCAUAAGCAGCACAUAGAAGAAGAAAGAAAUAGAAGAACUAUUUAAUUUGAUCCAGGCAUGAAUUUCUAGAAAUAAUGGUAAAAGUCAUACCAUUUGCUGUCAUUUGCAAAAAGAGAACCAGGGCUAUCCUAUUAUGUUAUCUUUGUACCACACUGAACAUAAUAACAGCUUGAUUAAUAGCUGGCUCUUGUAGGCACAGUCACAAUGCAAUUAAGCAUGAAACAUCUUAUUAUUAACUUUCAAAAAUAAUUAGCCACCUUAGUCCCAGUUAGAAAAAAAUUACUUUAGUAGUUGGACAGUAAAACAUUAAUUCUGUAACUUGUGUUCUCUGAACCACCACACAGUGUGCAGAAAAUGAUCACAGUCUGUUAAUUCUGGGUGCUCAGAAUCCUAUCUGGUUAGGUGCUUUAUGGUGCCUAAAGUAGUUUGUUAUGGACUGACAACUGCAUUCCUUCAGGAGCCUUCCUGGACACAGGGUAGAAGCAUCAUUCUUUGUUCCCUCUGCAGACAGUAGGAAAGAGAUAUAUUACUUAAUUACUUAAUAAUUAAUAAUAAUUAUUUAUUAAUUAGUUUAUACUAAUAAUAUGUUCUCUCUGUAUCAGAUACAAAACUGAAAUGUGCUAAUCAAAAGCAUAUGUCAGCAGAUGACCUCUCUUCUACAGAAAGCACAUAUCAAACAAAUCAUGUUAUAAAUCAGUGAACUUACGGAUUUUUAUCUCAUCACCAAACUUGGCACUAAAUGUUAUAUGUAUUGGUGUAUUUGAACAUUGUCAGUAUUCAAGUUUUGUAGUUUGAGUUAUGGUGAGGUAGUGAGUGAUGUCAAACCUCUUCAAGCAACUACAGUUAUAUAGCAGUUUUUAUGACAGUAUAGCUUAUGUUACAGUAAAACACCCCAAUACCUUGCAGUAAAAAGGGUUUCUCAACAGAUAUAACUUAGCUACACUUCUGUUUUACCAGCUUAGUGAAAGAAAAAAAAUGGACUUUUUUUUUUUAAUAUUGUUUUAUAUAUUAAAAAAAUCUAAAAAUGUGUAAACUUGCAUUUUAUGCCUCUGUAUCUGACCAAUCGCUAUGAAAAUAAAAUAAAAGUGCUUCAAUGGAGCA